AAAAGGCCAUGCUAAUGAGACUACAUGUACUUCAGUCUUAAAUGCAACAUUAGACAAAUGCUAAAUACUUGCCAACUUAUAGAUAAAUGCACAGAAGUUCUCUAAGUUUUGAUUUCCAGGGACUCAAGGCAAGAAAAAGGGGACAUAAACAAUCUUGAACUUAGGUGGAACCACCAAUUUGGAUAAAUUAAGAGGUGAUAUAAAAUCAAUCAAGAAUUAUUCAGUGAUUGAAUCUGUGCUAACGAAGCUGCUUUGUUCACGGAGGUGUCAUCUGGAAGAUGGAAUCUUAAUUGAAGAGACAGGUAUGUCUUCCUGAAGUGUUUAGAUUUUGUUUUGGAUAAGUAUUCAUAAGCCAUAUUUGAUAUUUCUUUGAACACUUCGUAUCAAUCAGCAUACAAGUCAGAGUCUAAUGGGAAUUGAGCCUGGACAGAGGUGAAGAAGAAAAUAUGAGAGAUGAGAGAGGACAGAGACAGAGAGCAAGAGAGAGAAUUUAAAUUCGAUUCACAUUGCCAGAUAUUACGCUUACCUCAGUACAUCCACGUCACAAUAACUCAAAACAAAAUUUAGUAAACUACUAAAGGGAAGGAAGGAUGUAGUCCUUAUCUUUGUAGAUUGUGAAUUCACGCAACAAAAUUUAAAGCAGUAGGAGGCCUAAAGAACAAAUACUAGCAAAUGAAACGGGACAAAAUUAAACAAAACUAAAAGAUUUGCUGCUUUCAUAACAAUAAUUGGAUAUGGUUAGAGUAUGACUGGGAAAGACUCAUGAAGAAAGGUAAAUUUGAAGCAGUGCUUUGGUGAAGAACA
rnacentral:lncRNA from 10 species